GAUGAACGCUGGCGGCGUGCCUAAUACAUGCGAGUCGAGCGAACAGACGAGGAGCUUGCUCCUCUGACGUUAGCGGCGGACGGGUGAGUAACACGUGGAUAACCUACCUAUAAGACUGGGAUAACUUCGGGAAACCGGAGCUAAUACCGGAUAAUAUAUUGAACCGCAUGGUUCAAUAGUGAAAGACGGUUUUGCUGUCACUUAUAGAUGGAUCCGCGCCGCAUUAGCUAGUUGGUAAGGUAACGGCUUACCAAGGCAACGAUGCGUAGCCGACCUGAGAGGGUGAUCGGCCACACUGGAACUGAGACACGGCCCAGACUCCUACGGGAGGCAGCAGUAGGGAAUCUUCCGCAAUGGGCGAAAGCUUGACGGAGCAACGCCGCGUGAGUGAUGAAGGUCUUCGGAUCGUAAAACUCUGUUAUUAGGGAAGAACAAAUGUGUAAGUAACUAUGCACGUCUUGACGGUACCUAAUCAGAAAGCCACGGCUAACUACGUG
rnacentral:rRNA from 1 species